rnacentral:rRNA from 1 species
GUGAGGAAUAUUGGGCAAUGGGCGAAAGCCUGACCCAGCAACGCCGCGUGAAGGAAGAAGGUCUUCGGAUCGUAAACUUCUAUCCUUGGUGAAGAUAAUGACGGUAGCCGAGAAGGAAGCCCCGGCUAACUACGUGCCAGCAGCCGCGGUAAUACGUAGGGGGCAAGCGUUGUCCGGAAUGAUUGGGCGUAAAGGGCGCGUAGGCGGCCUGGUAAGUCUGGAGUGAAAGUCCUGCUUUUAAGGUGGGAAUUGCUUUGGAUACUGUCGGGCUUGAGUGCAGGAGAGGUAAGUGGAAUUCCCGGUGUAGCGGUGAAAUGCGUAGAGAUCGGGAGGAACACCAGUGGCGAAGGCGACUUACUGGACUGUAACUGACGCUGAGGCGCGAAAGUGUGGGGAGCAAACAGGAUUAGAAACCCGAGUAGUCC